UAUAGCCGAGAUUCAAAAUACUCAGAUUACUAUGUUUGAAUAACUCCUCUGGUACAUUACCCGUGAGAUUGUUGUUAUUCAAUUUUAAUGAUUCAAGCUCCAAAAGAUCUCCAAGGCCAGGCGGAAUCGAACCGGACAAGAGGUUCCCUCCUAAAGACAACGACUUCAAGUUUCUUAGUUGACUCAAGAAAACAGGAAUACCACCCAAAAACCUAUUCCCUUCCAGAUCAAGAAUUUGUAAGGCACUGCAUUUUACAAUCUGAAAAGG
rnacentral:misc_RNA from 1 species